UCCCUCGUGGCUCAGUCAGUAAAGAAUCUGCCUGCAAUGCAGGAGACCUGGGUUCAAUCCCUGCGUUGGGA
rnacentral:tRNA from 1 species